rfam:Caenorhabditis remanei strain PB4641 contig8.5, whole genome shotgun sequence.
CGGAUGUUGAGGUAGGCUCAGUAGAUGCGAUCAGAGUUGUGCCUCAGGCGUUCCUCACAUCUUCUUGCCUAACUCGCCUUCCU